rnacentral:rRNA from 1 species
AGCUAUAAACCAAGCCUUAAUUCCCCCCCCCCUUUUUUCUACCACUAAGUAAAACAUUUUCUUUCUAAGUAGAGGGGAUCGAAAAGACAAUAAGCGCUUUAUAAAUAGUACCGUAAGGGAAGGGUGAAAUAGCUCUGAAAUAGUCCUAAGGCACUAAAUAGCAGAGAUUAACUCUCGUACCUUUUGCAUCAUGGUUUAACUAGUUUAAUCAAGCAAAAUGAAGUAUUAGUUUGACUUCCCGAAACUAGGCGAGCUACUUCGAAACAGCCCCUGAGCUAACCCGUCUCUGUUGCAAAAGAGUGGGAAGAUUUCCUAGUAGAAGUGAAAAGCCUACCGAGCCUAGAGAUAGCUGGUUAUUCAAGAAAAGAAUCUUAGUUCACCCUUAAGUUUUCCCCUUCUCAACAAAAACAACUUAAACUUAAGAGUUAUUCAAAUAAGGCACAGCUUAUUUGAAAAAGGAUACAACCUAAAUAUAAGGGUUAGACAUCUCUCCCUCCCUAAGUGGGCCUAAGAGCAGCCACCUUUUAAAAAGCGUUAAAGCUUAAUAAUACCCUCCCUCCCUCCAAUUCCAUAACCCCCCACGAACCCUAUAUAACAGUACUGAAUAACCUUAUAAGAUUAUAAGUGGUAUUAUGUUAAAACUAGUAACAUGAAGCAGACCUUCUCCCUAAUGCGAGCAAAAACCAAAACGGACUAACCAUUGGUUCUUAACGUACCUGAGCCUAACCUAGCAACACCCUUCGAAAACCCUAUGCCCAGACCACGUUAACCUUACACCAGAGCAUUUCCGGAAAGAUUAAAAGAAAAAGAAGGAACUCGGCAAAUUUAAAUCCCGCCUGUUUACCAAAAACAUCGCCUCCUGACACAUACAUAUUCUAUAAGAGGUCCAGCCUGCCCAGUGACAUUUUUAACGGCCGCGGUACUCUGACCGUGCGAAGGUAGCAUAAUCACUUGUUCUUUAAAUGGGGACUAGUAUCAACGGCAUCACGAGGAUUUUACUGUCUCCUUUUUCUAAUCGGUGAAACUGAUCUCCCCGUGAAGAAGCGGGGAUAAUACUAUAAGACGAGAAGACCCCAUGGAGCUUUAAACCCAGUAACAUCUCAAACUCUUUAUUCCCCCUUAGUUUUUAUGCAUUGUCUGCUGGUUUUAGGUUGGGGUGACCGCGGAGUAUAACUUAACCUCCACAGCGCACGGAACUUAUUCCUUAUCCAAGAGCCACAUCUCGAAGAAUCAAUAAAUUGACGUAAAAUGAUCCAUAACCUUGAUUAAUGAACCAAGUUACCCUGGGGAUAACAGCGCAAUCCAUUUUUAGAGCUCCUAUCGACAAAUGGGUUUACGACCUCGAUGUUGGAUCAGGGUAUCCCAGUGGUGCA